CUCCUGUCUGCUUCUCCAAACUGGUUGGAGUGUCAACCGGAAUCUACUGUAGCUAACAUACUGACUAUGGAGAAGUGGCUCACACAACCACACUUCAAAACAUCUGAACUGUGCCUUUAACCAUCUGCACGGUCUGUGAAGCUGCUUCCUACCGUUCAAAAAUGUGUAAUCUGCUGUGUUAUUGAUGUUUCUCUUCUUUCCUUCAGUUCCCUUCAUUUUAACAGAAAUCAAAACAAAAUAUUUCAGACAACAAGUGUAUUACUAACAUUAGAAAUAGUUUUAGCCCCAAAAGAAGAGGAAUUAAAUCGAUGUCCCUACAGUGCUGCAUUACGGGAGAAUAUUGACACUUGGAUUAUGAAUUAGUUUUCCAGUCCAGAGAAGCGUAAGUGACCCUCGAUCAUUAUUAAACCACAACGGUGCAAUGUUUGUUCUGUGGGCCCUCUGCAGUCUGCUCAGCGGUUAGAUGGAAGAGGUUUAAAGUGUAAUGUGUCAGUCC